GAUGAACGCUGGCGGCGUGCCUAAUACAUGCAAGUCGAGCGAACAGACGAGGAGCUUGCUCCUCUGACGUUAGCGGCGGACGGGUGAGUAACACGUGUAUAACCUACCUAUAAGACUGGGAUAACUUCGGGAAGCCGGAGCUAAUACCGGAUAAUAUAUUGAACCGCAUGGUUCAAUAGUGAAAGACGGUUUUGCUGUCACUUAUAGAUGGAUCCGCGCCGCAUUAGCUAGUUGGUAAGGUAACGGCUUACCAAGGCAACGAUGCGUAGCCGACCUGAGAGGGUGAUCGGCCACACUGGAACUGAGACACGGUCCAGACUCCUACGGGAGGCAGCAGUAGGGAAUCUUCCGCAAUGGGCGAAAGCCUGACGGAGCAACGCCGCGUGAGUGAUGAAGGUCUUCGGAUCGUAAAACUCUGUUAUUAGGGAAGAACAAAUGUGUAAGUAACUAUGCACGUCUUGACGGUACCUAAUCAGAAAGCCACGGCUAACUACGUG
rnacentral:rRNA from 1 species